AGAGUUUGAUCCUGGCUCAGGAUGAACGCUGGCGGCGUGCCUAACACAUGCAAGUCGAACGAAGCGGUUGAGAGGAAGUUUUCGGAUGGAAUCUUAAUUGACUGAGUGGCGGACGGGUGAGUAACACGUGGAUGAUCUGCCUCACACAGGGGGAUAACAGUUAGAAAUGGCUGCUAAUACCGCAUAAGCGCACAGUGCUGCAUGGCACAGUGUGAAAAACUCCGGUGGUGUGAGAUGAGUCCGCGUCUGAUUAGCUAGUUGGUAGGGUAAGGGCCUACCAAGGCGACGAUCAGUAGCCGACCUGAGAGGGUGACCGGCCACAUUGGGACUGAGACACGGCCCAAACUCCUACGGGAGGCAGCAGUGGGGAAUAUUGCACAAUGGGGGAAACCCUGAUGCAGCGACGCCGCGUGAGUGAAGAAGUAUUUCGGUAUGUAAAGCUCUAUCAGCAGGGAAGAGAAUGACGGUACCUGACUAAGAAGCCCCGGCUAACUACGUGCCAGCAGCCGCGGUAAUACGUAGGGGGCAAGCGUUAUCCGGAUUUACUGGGUGUAAAGGGAGCGUAGACGGCGAAGCAAGUCUGAAGUGAAAGCCCGGGGCUCAACCCCGGGACUGCUUUGGAAACUGUUUUGCUAGAGUGCUGGAGAGGUAAGUGGAAUUCCUAGUGUAGCGGUGAAAUGCGUAGAUAUUAGGAGGAACACCAGUGGCGAAGGCGGCUUACUGGACAGUAACUGACGUUGAGGCUCGAAAGCGUGGGGAGCAAACAGGAUUAGAUACCCUGGUAGUCCACGCCGUAAACGAUGAA
rnacentral:rRNA from 1 species